rnacentral:lncRNA from 1 species
AUGCACCCAUCAACUGGAACUGAGGCUAAUUGCGCGUACUACGCCUCGCGGCGUUACAUGGCGCUUAUGAGUCCAGUGGAAAGACCAAGGUCAAUUUCUAUAAAUCUGGCUUUAUUGCACAUUUGUGAAGACCUUUUCCUCUCCGCUGAUCCAGAUAAAGACAGCUUGAUGGAUGAGAAGGCAGAUCCCAGACAGAGGUUGAUAGAUUUCCUGGCAGAAAGGGACUUCGACGUGCUGGGGCUCUCCAACAGCGUGCAAGAGAAGGUGGCCAACAGCGCUUUGGAUGAAGCCAAGUCACUUAAAAGAUUGUUGAUCGGCAGCAUCAGUCUGUCAGAAGACUCUCAGCCCGAUGAAGAGGAGGAAGCAGAGAGGGCUAAUCAGGAGCUGGAAAGCUCUCAAUCAGCAGAUGGCAAGGCCACAGACCGAGGUUAUAUGGAAGUGACUUGUGAAAAACCAGGUGCGGCGACUAAAGACGAUGCAGAUGGGAGCAUCAGUGCACCCCUGGUGCUGUCCCAGGAGAGAAUGGAAGAAGUGCUCAGGAGGUUCGGCAUCCUGGAGGAACAUCUAAAGAGACUACAGGUGAACAGAGGGGGAGGUGGAUGA